rnacentral:rRNA from 1 species
AGUGAACGCUGGCGGCGUGCUUAACACAUGCAAGUCGAACGAGAACGGGUUAUAGCUUGCUAUAAUUGUCAGCUAAGUGGCGCACGGGUGAGUAAUGUAUAGGUAAUAUGCCUCUUACUAAGGGAUAACAAAUGGAAACGUUUGCUAAUACCUUAUACUCCUUAUUAACAGAAGUUAAUAAGGGAAAGAUUUAUUGGUUAGAGAUUAGCCUGUAUUGUAUCAGUUAGUCGGUGGGGUAAUGGCUUACCAAGACUAUGACACAUAACUGGUUUGAGAGGAUGAUCAGUCACACUGGAACUGAGACACGGUCCAGACUCCUACGGAUGGCAGCAACUGGGAAUAUUCGGCAAUGGGCGAAAGCCUGACCGAGCGACGCCGCGUGAAGGAUGAAGCCUCUUGGGGUGUAAACUUCUUUUAUUGGGUCAUGAAGACCCUUUGAAUAAGCACCUACAAACUACGUGCCAGCCGCCGCGGUAA